GCACUCGUCUGUUGGCUCAGAGCUGAAAAGUGCAUUCGCAAGCCUCUGCUGGCUGGCCUGUUGGAUCCGUGCCUCCCUCCAGAGACCCGCGAGCUCCUCCUUUGUCUCCAGAUGCACAAGGAGUGGCUCCUGCCGUUUCUUCUUUUAAGAAAAAGAGAAUAAGGAGUGGGUUCCCAGCCCCUCCAAAAUGAUUUAAUUUGAACGUGAAGAAGACCCGCCCUGGAGAAGAGAAGCUGUAGGGAUUCUGUUCUCACAGUUCUUCACGAGGCACCGCUUGUCCUGGCUCCUGUCUUCCCGACGGCGGGGGCAGGCGUGUGAGCGUCCUUUCUCCAGAAUCACAUCGUACGGUUCUGAGGUCACCCGAAUGAGUGGCCGCAAAGAAGUGUAGAGUUGGUCUGGCGAGACUUGGUGCCAGCUGUAGACAGGCAAAGGGCCGAGGAGCACCCAGGAGUGGCCAGGCCACUUGCUGUGACCCUUAGGCCAGUUUAGGGUCAUCUCUGAGUCUUGGAACUCCUGUCAAAAGCCGUGUUUUUCUAGGAUCAUUUAGGUCCACAGCUACCAAUCGCUUCUUCCUCUUCUUUCCUCCCUUCCUUCUUCUCUUUAUCCUUCAAAAAAAUCGAGGUAAAAUUCACAUAGAAAAAAUCAGUCUUUAACCAUUUGCAAGUGUGCAAUUCGGUGGCACCCAGCACAUUUCCAAUGUCAUGCAGCCACCACCUCUAUCUAGUUCCAAGACAUUGUCAUCACCCCAGAAGGAAACCCGUACCCAGUAAGUGGUCACUCUCCUUUUCCCCUCUCCCUGGACCCUGCAACCAGCAUCAUGAUGCUAUUGGCUUUUGUAUCUUAACAUUGUAAGUAUCGGGAACAAUUCCUUUCAGUCCUUUUAUGUUAUUUGCAAAAUGUAUUAAACACAUUUUGUGCUUAUCGCUGUUCUGGGCACCUCAUGUAUGUGAGCUGUUCAAUCCUCAGAGCAACACUGUAAGAGAGUUACUGUUUUAUUCCUGCUUUGCAGAUGAAGAGGCUGGGGCAGAGGAGGGAAGAGAUGUGCUCGCAGUCCCCAGGCACGAAGGGCAGAGCUCGGACUCACGCUCACCCCAGCGCUGCUGGAAUCGACCCUCUUGGACACCGGCCCGUCCCCUCCACCAGUUUCAGAAAGACCCUGAGCUUGCGCCUGUUGCUCCCAGCUUCCCUCCCUCCCUCUGCUGCCCUUGGCCUAAGGGACUAACUACCACACGGGUGCCUUCCCCUUUAGUGUCCCACGUGGGCCUUUCUCAUUUUUCUCCUUCUUCUGGUUUUGUUCUGUAGCUUCGUGGGGCAUUGGGCAAGAGACGAAAGAUCCAGUGUUAACAUCUGUGCUGUAAUUUUCCGUGACUGUGUCCAGUGACAGAAAGCAUGACUACUCUUUUCUGGAUCAAAACGUCUUUCAGGCUUGAUCCUGACCUCUUUGGACAAACAUAGCUUAGGUUCAUCUGCCAGAUGAGGUAAUUGAGAAUGAAAAAGCUUAAGUAACUUGUCCGAGGUUACUUGGCAGCAAGUGGUGGAGCCCAGAUUUGACCUCAUGUCUGCCUCAUUUCAAAGUCUUGCUCUUUCUCCCACUUCCUGCUGGCUGCGAUCCGAAAUCAGCCCUCACGCCUUCCAAGCGGGCGAGUGCACACCAGCAAUGGCGUCUCCCCCAGCCUGUUACGGUGGGGUGUGGGAUUUCUGGAUCUGCAGGGACUUCUGCAUUUGGACAUAGAGGAAAGUCACCAGCAGAAAUAUGGAUUGAAGACCAGUCGCUAGAUGAACUGGGCAUUCUGCCUUUCUUCUGGUGAUGUUCGACACGGACCGUCCCCUUUAAAGUGACAAGCAAAAAUAUCCAGCUAAUGGAAGCAAGGAGAACACCUUACUUUUACCCAGCACAUCCAGAUGUUUAGGCCUGCUUUUUUGGUUUGUUAGUUUUAAUAAAUCCUGAAUUAUCUGGGCAGUUGUCUCAUGAUUCAUCACUUUGCUUUCCAUGUCUAAGCACGGGCUAGCGGUAGAAGAAAGUUA